UAAGGAAUAUUGGUCAAUGGACGCAAGUCUGAACCAGCCAUGCCGCGUGAAGGAUGAAGGUCCUCUGGAUUGUAAACUUCUUUUAUCUGGGACGAAAACGGGAUUUUUAUCUCAAUUGACGGUACCAGAGGAAUAAGCACCGGCUAACUCCGUGCCAGCAGCCGCGGUAAUACGGAGGGUGCGAGCGUUAUCCGGAUUUACUGGGUUUAAAGGGUGCGUAGGUGGGAUUAUAAGUCAGUGGUGAAAUCUCCGAGCUUAACUUGGAAACUGCCGUUGAUACUAUAGGUCUUGAAUUAUCUGGAGGUAAGCGGAAUAUGUCAUGUAGCGGUGAAAUGCUUAGAUAUGACAUAGAACACCAAUUGCGAAGGCAGCUUACUACAUAUAAAUUGACGCUGAGGCACGAAAGCGUGGGGAUCAAACA
rnacentral:rRNA from 1 species